rnacentral:rRNA from 1 species
GACGAACGCUGGCGGCGUGCCUAAUACAUGCUAGUAGAACGCUGAAGGAGGAGCUUGCUUCUCUGGAUGAGUUGCGAACGGGUGAGUAACGCGUAGGUAACCUGCCUGGUAGCGGGGGAUAACUAUUGGAAACGAUAGCUAAUACCGCAUAAGAGUGGAUGUUGCAUGACAUUUGCUUAAAAGGUGCACUUGCAUCACUACCAGAUGGACCUGCGUUGUAUUAGCUAGUUGGUGGGGUAAGGGCUCACCAAGGCGACGAUACAUAGCCGACCUGAGAGGGUGAGCGGCCACACUGGGACUGAGACGCGACCCAGACUCCUACCGAACCCCGCGAUAUGGAAUCUUAUAAUAUGGAGGGGA